GAACAAAUGCGUAAAAGGGCUGCGACGUUCCGGGCCUUGUACACACCGCCCGUCACACCAUGGAAGUCUGCAAUGCCCAAAGCCGGUGGCCUUACCUUCGGGAAGGAGCCGUCUAAGGCAGGGCAGAUGACUGGGGUGAAGUCGUAACAAGGUAGCCGUAGGAGAACCUGCGGCUGGAUCACCUCCUUUCUAAGGAA
rnacentral:rRNA from 1 species